UCGCGGCCCAUACAAAUUUAAUUGCAUAUUAGGAAUGCAGUAUAGCUAGGGAAUGACCCAUAGGUCAUCUCCCAAAGACCAAUUUUGCAGUUCGAGAAUCGAGUCUAACACAAAAAGAGGGGGGGGGGGUUUGAAAGUGUUUUUGUGAUGAGACAUAAACUAAAUUAAAAUGGAAAUUAAACACAACUAAACAUAAUUGAAUGCAUUGAAGUUAAUGAAAACAAUAAACUGAACGGG
rnacentral:lncRNA from 1 species